GGAAUAUUGGACAAUGGGGGCAACCCUGAUCCAGCCAUGCCGCGUGCGUGAAGAAGGCCUUAGGGUUGUAAAGCGCUUUCGGCGGGGAAGAUGAUGACGGUACCCGCAGAAGAAGCCCCGGCCAACUCCGUGCCAGCAGCCGCGGGAAUACGGAGGGGGCGAGCGUUGUUCGGAAUUACUGGGCGUAAAGAGCGCGUAGGCGGCGAGACAAGUCAGGCGUGAAAGCCCCGGGCUCAACCUGGGAGGUGCGUUUGAGACUGUUUUGCUGGAGUCCGGGAGGGGAUGGCGGAAUUCCCAGUGUAGAGGUGAAAUUCGUAGAUAUUGGGAAGAACACCGGUGGCGAAGGCGGCCAUCUGGACCGGCACUGACGCUGAGGCGCGAAAGCGUGGGGAGCAAA
rnacentral:rRNA from 1 species